UACAAAAUGCCUGAUUAAAGGAUUAUUCUGAUAGAAUAAAUUAAAUAAUAGAAAUUAUUAUUUUUGUAAAUUA
rnacentral:tRNA from 1 species